rnacentral:misc_RNA from 1 species
AUGGAUUUAUCAGGAUCCAUUUUUCCCAGUAGUGGUAUAGCCUCUAUCAUGGUUUUUGUUUUUGGGCCCUGUGAAGGUCAAAAGCAAUAAUAUCUUCGGGAUGACAUAACACGAGAAUUGAUUUCUACUGGGCACCCCUCUCUUGCUCGUUGGAGUCUUUAAGCAAGUCUUGGAUCUCUUUGUCAAGAAGAGCAGUGUCAGGCGAAAUCUGAACUAAGGAUUUCAUGGUCAUAUUAUUGGAGUUCGAUUGGAUACGUUGGGAUUAUACCAAUUCUAGCCAAUUUCUCUAGUAAAAGCUUGUUGCAUUGUUGUUUGGCGUAAAGGCAGAACAAAUUGCAGUGAUACGAGCUCAGCUGUUUGAGAAAG